rnacentral:tRNA from 1 species
UCCCUGAUGGCUCAGACGGUAAAGCAUCUGCCUGCAAUGCGGGAGACCUGGGUUCAAUCCCUGGGUUGGGAA